GUGAGGAAUUUUGCGCAAUGGGGGCAACCCUGACGCAGCGACGCCGCGUGGAGGACGAAGUCUUUCGGGAUGUAAACUCCUGUCAGUGGGGACGAUAAUGACGGUACCCACAGAGGAAGCACCGGCUAACUCCGUUCCAGCAGCCGCGGUAAGACGGAGGGUGCAAGCGUUGUUCGGAAUUACUGGGCGUAAAGCGUAUGUAGGCGGCAAGUUAAGUUCAAUGUUAAAGCCCACGGCUCAACCGAGGAGAUGCAUGGAAGACUGGCUAGGUAGAGGGUGUUAGAGGUAGACGGAAUUGCCGGGGUAGCGGUGAAAUGCGUAGAUAUUGGGAGGAGCAUCGGUAGCGAAAGCGGUCUUCUGGGACAUACCUGACGCUGAGGUACGAAAGCGUGGGGAGCAAACGGGAUUAGAUACCCUAGUAGUCC
rnacentral:rRNA from 1 species